AUAUAGAAAUUUACCCUUAAAUUUUUAGUUAUAUAAAAUUUAUUUGUUUUCGGAAAAGUCUAUAUAAGAUUAAGUAGUUGGUAAUUAAAGAUUACCAAGCUUAUAAUCUUUAGUUGGCCUUUGAGGGUGGACAACCACACUGGAACUGAGAUACGGUCCAGACUCUUUUAUGGAGGCAGCAGUGAGGAAUUUUGGGCAAUGAGCGAAAGCUUGACCCAGCUAAAUUGUGUGUGUGAUGAAGGUGAAUAACCGUAAAACAUUUUACUUAUGUAUAAACUAUGAUUUAAACAUAAAAAAAGUCCUGGCUAAUUUCGUGCCAGCAGCCGCGGUAAAACGGGAAGGGCGAGCGUUAUUCGGAUUAAUUGGGCGUAAAGUAUAUGUAGGUGGAAGAUUAUUUAGUAAGUAAAAUUUUAAAUUUAACUUUAAGUAGGUUUACUAAACAUAUUUUCUAGAGUUUAAAAAAAGAUUAUAGAACUUUAAAUGUAACGGUAAAAUGUAUUGAUAUUUAAAAGAAUUUCUAAAGUGAAGGCAGUAAUCUAGAUUAAAACUGACAUUGAAAUAUUAAAGCGUGGGUAGCAAAGGGGAUUAGAUACCCCCGUAGUCCACGCCUUCACGAUGAGUGUUUAUUUUAUUAUAUUAA
rnacentral:rRNA from 1 species